GACAGAGGGUGCAAACGUUGCUCGGAAUUACUGGGCGUAAAGCGCGUGUAGGUGGAUUGGUGUGUCAGAUGUGAAAGCCCUGGGCUCAACCCAGGAACUGCACCUGAAACUACCAGUCUUGAGUGGUGGAGAGGGAAGUGGAAUUCCUAGUGUAGAGGUGAAAUUCGUAGAUAUCAGGAGGAACACCAGUGGCGAAGGCGGCUUCCUGGACACUAACUGACGCUGAGACGCGAAAGCGUGGGGAGCAAACAGG
rnacentral:rRNA from 1 species